rnacentral:lncRNA from 1 species
UUGAUAUCUGGUAGGAAACUUUGAACGAUCUCUGGCAGAAGCUUAGAGAUCGCCGGUUCGAAUAGCAUUUGGGACGAAACCAUAUAACAUGCUUUGGUUUCGGGCCUGAGGGGAUGUAUGGGCUUUGGCCCAGAACCUCUUUGAUUAUUCAAAAAAAAAAAAAAAAACCAAAUUUAAUUUAUGUUAUAUACAUGUUUUAAUUAGAUUUAAUCUGGUAUAUUUGGGUUUAAACCAGAUUUCAACCUUAGAC